rnacentral:rRNA from 1 species
UGCCUUACACAUGCAAGUCGAACGGUAACGCGGGGGCAACCCUGGCGACGAGUGGCGAACGGGUGAGUAAUACAUCGGAACAUAUCCAGUAGCGGGGGAUAACCUAUCGAAAGAUUGGCUAAUACCGCAUACGAUCUACGGAUGAAAGCGGGGGACCGCAAGGCCUCGCACUAUUGGAGUGGCCGAUGUCAGAUUAGCUAGUUGGUGGGGUAAAAGCCUACCAAGGCGACGAUCUGUAGCUGGUCUGAGAGGACGAUCAGCCACACUGGAACUGAGACACGGUCCAGACUCCUACGGGAGGCAGCAGUGGGGAAUUUUGGACAAUGGGCGCAAGCCUGAUCCAGCCAUGCCGCGUGAGUGAAGAAGGCCUUCGGGUUGUAAAGCUCUUUCGGUGAAGACGAAACGGUUAGCGCUAAUAACGCUGACUAAUGACGGUACUCACAGAAGAAGCACCGGCUAACUACGUGCCAGCAGCCGCGGUAAUACGUAGGGUGCAGGCGUUAAUCGGAAUUACUGGGCA